rnacentral:tRNA from 1 species
GCCCGUGUAGCUCAGUGGAUAGAGCCGUGGCCUACGAAGCCAUGGGCCGGGGGUUCGAAUCCCUCCACGGGUA